rnacentral:rRNA from 1 species
GUCGAACGAUGAAGCCCUUCGGGGUGGAUUAGUGGCGAACGGGUGAGUAACACGUGGGCAAUCUGCCCUUCACUCUGGGACAAGCCCUGGAAACGGGGUCUAAUACCGGAUAACACUCUGUCCCUCAUGGGGCGGGGUUAAAAGCUCCGGCGGUGAAGGAUGAGCCCGCGGCCUAUCAGCUUGUUGGUGGGGUAAUGGCCUACCAAGGCGACGACGGGUAGCCGGCCUGAGAGGGCGACCGGCCACACUGGGACUGAGACACGGCCCAGACUCCUACGGGAGGCAGCAGUGGGGAAUAUUGCACAAUGGGCGAAAGCCUGAUGCAGCGACGCCGCGUGAGGGAUGACGGCCUUCGGGUUGUAAACCUCUUUCAGCAGGGAAGAAGCGAAAGUGACGGUACCUGCAGAAGAAGCGCCGGCUAACUACGUGCCAGCAGCCGCGGUAAUACGUAGGGCGCAAGCGUUGUCCGGAAUUAUUGGGCGUAAAGAGCUCGUAGGCGGCUUGUCACGUCGGAUGUGAAAGCUCGGGGCUUAACCCCGAGUCUGCAUUCGAUACGGGCUAGCUAGAGUGUGGUAGGGGAGAUCGGAAUUCCUGGUGUAGCGGUGAAAUGCGCAGAUAUCAGGAGGAACACCGGUGGCGAAGGCGGAUCUCUGGGCCAUUACUGACGCUGAGGAGCGAAAGCGUGGGGAGCGAACAGGAUUAGAUACCCUGAUAGUCCACGCCGUAAACGUUGGGAACUAGUGUUGGCGACAUUCCACGUCGUCGGUGCCGCAGCUAACGCAUUAAGUUCCCCG